ACGAACGCUGGCGGCGUGCUUAACACAUGCAAGUCGAACGGAAAGGCCCUGCUUUUGUGGGGUGCUCGAGUGGCGAACGGGUGAGUAACACGUGAGUAACCUGCCCUUGACUUUGGGAUAACUUCAGGAAACUGGGGCUAAUACCGGAUAGGAGCUCCUGCUGCAUGGUGGGGGUUGGAAAGUUUCGGCGGUUGGGGAUGGACUCGCGGCUUAUCAGCUUGUUGGUGGGGUAGUGGCUUACCAAGGCUUUGACGGGUAGCCGGCCUGAGAGGGUGACCGGCCACAUUGGGACUGAGAUACGGCCCAGACUCCUACGGGAGGCAGCAGUGGGGAAUAUUGCACAAUGGGCGGAAGCCUGAUGCAGCAACGCCGCGUGCGGGAUAACGGCCUUCGGGUUGUAAACCGCUUUCGCCUGUGACGAAGCGUGAGUGACGGUAAUGGGUAAAGAAGCACCGGCUAACUACGUG
rnacentral:rRNA from 1 species